AAACAUAUAGAGACCAGUGGAAGGGGAUAAUGACACCACUCUGUAGAAAGAAGAUAAUAAGUCUGGACACAAAAAAGUUCCAGUAAAAUUUGGACAGCAGACCCCAUCAGAAUGUGUUGAACUCUAAAAACCUGACCCAGCAAAGCAUUUCUGAACCUGCUGUGUAUUAAGCAAACAAGUAAUCUGAUGUAUUCUACUGGACCUAUUAACACUUUAACAAAAAACUUGUAAUUUUUAUUAACUUUUUAAUUUUUUUUUAGAUAAGGUAUCCUACAUUUCUACAUUAGGCAAGAGCUGAUGCAAAGCACCCCUGCUAAGACCCUGAAGGCUGUGGAACCUGAGCCUGAAAAAGCAAGUUUAAAUGCAGACAUAUCAAGAGAUAUUUUAAUCAUAUAAUAAAUGCAGAAAAUAUAAUGCUAAAUUUGGGGAUUUUUUUUUUCUGUUUCAUUAGAAAGAACGAUAAUACAUUUUUUUUGAAGGUAGGAACUCCUUUUUGUUCCGUACAAGCUUUCUAUGGUCAAAAUUGGUUUAUGCAAAAGAAGUUAUAAAGUUUGCAUGAAAGCCUGAACUUUUCCAGCCUUCUUAUGCUUGCUUGAGUGACAGAAUGAUAUUAUUCUGAAGGUUGCACAGUGACUCUUUGAUCUUAAAGCUUGUAAAGGCCGUCUCACAUCUGCAUGUUCUAAUAUUCGCUGAUAAUCUGACUUGAACUUCAAGGCUUAUAAGACCUUGGAUCAGUGAUUUGCAAUUCAAGUGCCUCAGAAA